AUCCCACACGCAAAUAUCAUGAAAACGAAGAUAAGGAAAUGAAUGAGAAAAAGAAACUGUUGAACAAACACAAGAAGGCAAUGAAGUCAGCGGUUCGAGAAGUCAGGAAAGAUUCGCAGUUCCUGGCUCGCCAGAAACUCAAAGAACAGAUGGAAAGAGAUGCGGAAAGGAAACAACGAGUGAAAGAAAUAUAUCACAUGCUGUCUAGCCAGGAAGGAGAAUUCAAGGAAAUUCAACGGAAGAAAAAAAAGUUUUAAAAAUGUUGAUAAAAAAAUUCAGAUAUAAUAAAUAUUUGCUGAUUUUUCUUUUGCUAAUAAAGCUCAAAAAUAGAUCUCACA